rnacentral:rRNA from 1 species
UACAGAGGGGGCUAGCGUUGUUCGGAAUUACUGGGCGUAAAGGGCGCGUAGGCGGGCUGUCAAGUCUGGGGUGAAAUCCCGCGGCUCAACCGUGGAACUGCCUUAGAUACUGACGGCCUCGAGGGAGGUAGGGGCAUGCGGAACUGAUGGUGGAGCGGUGAAAUGCGCAGAUAUCGGGAGGAACACCGGUGGCGAAGGCGGUUCUCUGGGCCUGUACUGACGCUGAGGAGCGAAAGCGUGGGGAGCGAACAGG